AUACGGAGGAUGCGAGCGUUAUCCGGAUUUAUUGGGUUUAAAGGGAGCGUAGGUGGGAUAUUAAGUCAGCUGUGAAAGUUUGGGGCUCAACCUUAAAAUUGCAGUUGAUACUGGUUUCCUUGAGUACGGUAUAGGUGGGCGGAAUUCGUGGUGUAGCGGUGAAAUGCUUAGAUAUCACGAAGAACUCCGAUCGCGAAGGCAGCUCACCGGGCCGGAACUGACACUGAUGCUCGAAAGUGCGGGUAUCAAACAGGAUUAGAUACCCUGGUAGUCCGCACAGUAAACGAUGAAUACUCGCUGUUUGCGAUACACUGUAAGCGGCCAAGCGAAAGCGUUAAGUAUUCCACCUGGGGAGUACGCCGGCAACGGUGAAACUCAAAGGAAUUGGCGGGG
rnacentral:rRNA from 1 species